CUUAAUUAUACUCAUUACUUACAAAUUCAAUACAUAAAACAAGUACAUACAAGUCUAACAAUGUUGCAAAAUUGGGCUACUUGUUGUCCCAAUCGAACAUACAUUUUAUAAUACAGAAUUACAAAUGGUUGAUAAAUCAGAGGUGAGGUUUUUUGACGGCAGCAUAAGUAGUCGAACGAGCUUUUGCAUCGCCUGUAUGAGCUCUACGUGCAGAACUAUUCCUAGAGGAGAAUUCAUGAAGCUUACAAGGUAUAUAGCUCAGUGAUUUCAUGUCCCGGCAAUUUCUCUUUUGCAAAAAGAAUGCUUCGCAUUCCUCUGGUUUUCUCUGGUUCUCAAGAUCAAUAAUGCAAUUCAUGCCAAUAUUAAGUACAUUCUCCUCAACUAACUUGCGACAUUCCGGUCCAAUCUGUGUGAAAUAGUUGUAUUUCAAGGUGAGUUCCUCCAAGCUACUGAUCUUGCACAAUGUCUCCGGCACUUCGCCGUAUAAUUGAUUGUAAGACAGAUCCAUCACUUCCAUUUGCACAAGGCAACCGAAAGAUUGCGGGAUAGGACCUGUUAAUUUGUUCUUACUAGCAUCAAAUACAGAGGCCAGUUUCAACAUCCCUAUCUCAUAAGGCAAGCAACCCGUAAGUUGAUUAUUGAAGAAGAGAACCUCAAGGAGAUUUCCCUUCGCAUACCCAAUGCUUUUGGGGAUUUCACCAAUGAAUUUAUUGUUGGCUAAUGUAAGAUACAGGGCAGCAGUACGGCCAAAAUUUUCUGGGAUUUUCCCGGAAAAUUGAUUGUUGUUGAGAAAAAGAAUAUCAAGGUCGAGUGUGAAUACUUGAGGGUCGACUGGACCUUCGAUUUGGUUGAAUCUGAGAUCCAAAUAAGUUAACCUGGUGGCACCAAGAACAGCUCUUGGAAAUAAACCAACAUAUUUGUUGUUGCUCAAAUCAAGUUCGAAAAGAUUAGGAAUACUCUGGGUCGAUAUAUUAUUGGGUAUUUCUCCAGUGAAGUUGUUGGAGUUGGAAUGGAAGAUUUCGAGAGUUGGGAUUCCAUUAAUGAAAUCUUUGAGAGACAGAGGAUUUCCCUUGAAGUUUCUACCAUUGAAAUUGACAGCAACAACUUUGUUCUUGUUGCAAAUGAAACCUACAUACUUGGUUGAGUCUUUGCAAAUAUCUUUGCCUACCCAUGUUUUUGUAAUGCCAGAGGGGUCACUAGUUAUUGUCUUCUUAAAUCUUUGAAUGACACUUAUGGCUGAUGUUAGUAGAUCAUUGGGGGUGGGUUUGGGAGGAUUUGGUUUUUUGGGGGGUGGGGGUGGUUUGGGAGGAUUUGGUUUGGGGGGUGGUGGUGGUAUUGGAGUGGGACAAAGUGGCUCAGGAGGAGGGGGAGGGGGACAAAGUGUUUCUUGUGGAGGAUAAGCAGGAGCAACAUCUCCUCCACCACCAAUUAUGACUUGUAAGGCUUCUCUGCCAUUUUUCACAGAUGAAGUUAAGGCAUUUACAUGGAAGAAUGAGGAGAUAAAG
rnacentral:misc_RNA from 1 species